rnacentral:sRNA from 1 species
ACGAAUCGUCGACACGAGCUGUUGCUGGCCCUCAAACGGGGGUAUGUGCACGCUCUGUCUGCAUCCACUCACACCUGUGCACCUUCUGUAGUUCUGUGGUCUGGGGGGGACCCUCCUCCUGUCUGCGGUUCUGCGUCUUUACACACACACUGUGACAUGGUCUUAUGGAAUGUAUGCAGCGUUUAACGCAAUACAAUACAACUUUCAGCAACGGAUCUCUUGGCUCUCGCAUCGAUGAAGAACGCAGCGAAAUGCGAUAAGUAAUGUGAAUUGCAGAAUUCAGUGAAUCAUCGAAUCUUUGAACGCACCUUGCGCCCUUUGGCUAUUCCGAAGGGCAUGCCUGUUUGAGUAUCAUGAACAUCUCAACCCUCGUGGCUUGCCAUGAUGGGCUUGGACUUUGGAGGCUUUGCUGGCCUGAGGUCGGCUCCUCUAAAAUGAAUCAGCCUACCGGUGCACGGUGGCGUCAUGGGUGUGAUAACUAUCUACGCUUGUGAUCGUCAGCCGGGUUACCUCUGACCUUGUUGGAGGUUCAUUGGGGGCUCACAGAUGUCUCUCCGCAGCGAAGACGGAUUUUUGAACG